UACGUAGGGCGCAAGCGUUGUCCGGAAUCAUUGGGCGUAAAGCGCGCGUAGGCGGCCUCGUAAGUCCGUUGUGAAAGUCAAAGGCUCAACCUUUGAAAGCCGAUGGAUACUGUGAGGCUAGAGUCCGGAAGAGGCGAGUGGAAUUCCUGGUGUAGCGGUGGAAUGCGCAGAUAUCAGGAGGAACACCAAUAGCGAAGGCAGCUCGCUGGGACGGUACUGACGCUAAGGCGCGAAAGCGUGGGGAGCGAACAGG
rnacentral:rRNA from 1 species